CUCCAGCUAGUAUAUCUAAAGCAGAAGAUUCUGCUUAUAGGUCAUUUGUUUGCUGCCCCACCUUGAAUCACAUUAUAAAAAAUUUCUUUAUUUACUCUUCUUUAGGACACUGGUGGGCAGAAAUGAAGAAGCCCAGGGGUCCCAGAAGCUGGCUGGGAUCCCUUGUGUAGAUCCUUAAAGACCAGCAUGUCUGAUGGCCCAAGUUUGGGUUUUGUUUUUCUGACACAAAGCAGAGAAGAACAUUGAUUCCAGGUCCUGAUCUCAGGGUUGCAAGAUCGAGCGCUGCAUCAGGCUCCCCCACCUCAGCAAGGAAUUUGCUCAAGAUUCUCUCUCUCCCUCUUCCAUCCCCCACCCUCUCCGUCUUUCUCUCAAAUAAAUAAAUAAAUA
rnacentral:lncRNA from 1 species